CUACGGGACGCUCCAGUGGGGAAUAUUGCACAAUGGAGGAAACUCUGAUGCAGCAACGCCGCGUGGAGGAUGACACUUUUCGGAGCGUAAACUCCUUUUAUAUAGGAAGAAGAUGACGGUACUAUAUGAAUAAGCGCCGGCUAACUCCGUGCCAGCAGCCGCGGUAAUACGGAGGGCGCAAGCGUUACUCGGAAUCACUGGGCGUAAAGAGCGUGUAGGCGGAUUAAAAAGUCAGAAAUGAAAUCCUAUAGCUUAACUAUAGAACUGCUUCUGAAACUCUUAAUCUAGAAUGUGGGAGAGGUAGAUGGAAUUUCUGGUGUAGGGGUAAAAUCCGUAGAGAUCAGAAGGAAUAUCGAUUGCGAAGGCGAUCUACUAGAACAUUAUUGACGCUGAGACGCGAAAGCGUGGGGAGCAAACAGGAUUAGAUACCCUAGUAGUC
rnacentral:rRNA from 1 species